UGAAUCAGUCUUUAUCUAUGAGCUGAAUUCAGUGUGCUAUCGAAGAAGGUGCCGCAAUUGGUGACAGACAAAUAUUAACAACUAAAAGGAAAUACCGAAAUUGAAGCCCUGGAGCGCUGAAGGCCAUCCCAGAAGUAGUGACUGUAAGAAGACGAACUUUGUUUCAAUCAUCGUUCGUAUCAAAAUCGUCGUCAAGUUCUCCAUCCAAAUGGCAGAUCUCCAGUUACCAACCAUUCAGGCUUUGGAUUACUUUUUACGGGAAACUGGAGUCAGGAUCAAUGCCUGUAAUAACAAAGGGGAAACACCAUUACAUCUAGCCGUGCAGUUUGAAGAUACGGAAGCAGUGGAAUUUUUCUUAGAGUGUAGAGCAAAUAUGGAUGCCGAAACCAAACGUGGUGAAACGCCGUUAAUAGAAGCAGGAUUGAAUAGUUUCGUGCAAAUCAUAGAUGUUCUGUUAGAACACGGUGCUGUUUACAAGAUCAAAAACGUUGUGAAUCAAAAUCUGAUUCAUUUGGAUGUGCAAAGUUACCAACCUGUGGUCUGCAUGUAGCAGCUGGUGAGAAAAAAAAUGGAAAAACCGUUACAGCAUUGUUACAGCAAGGCGCCACAGUUGAUAUGGUGACUUAUAAUGAGGACCUUCCUCUACAUAAAGCAGCAGUAUCAGGAAACGAGCAAGCAGUAAGGCUGCUCUAUCGAAAGAAUUUUUUAAUUUGGUAAAAUCGAUGUGGACUCACACCUUUCAUUAAAGGUCAUUAUUACGGCUAAAUCCUAUGGAAGACGGUCAGUAGUGUAUUUACUUGAGGAGCUGGAAAUGUGUGAAAAGUUUCAAACAACCAGCACGGACAGUUUCCACGACUUCGAGUUUCAAGCGUUUCUCCCUGGGUCCAAAAUUCUUCAAAUUUUAUACAAUUUGUCACAGAUAUUGUGAAGGAAUCAGUUUUUGGUGGAUAUCGAAUGGCAAAUGUGUCACUUGUUCUUGAUUUAACUUUAUCACAUUCUGCAUAAAUAAUAAAUAAGUUUAAAUAAU